AGGGGUAUAGCGUAGUGGUUCAACGCGCGCGGUUCGGGACCGCGAGGUCGUCGGUUCGAUUCCGACUACCCCUACCA
rnacentral:tRNA from 1 species